rnacentral:rRNA from 1 species
GACGAACGCUGGCGGCGUGCCUAAUACAUGCAAGUUGAGCGCUGAAGGUUGGUACUUGUACCAACUGGAUGAGCAGCGAACGGGUGAGUAACGCGUGGGGAAUCUGCCUUUGAGCGGGGGACAACAUUUGGAAACGAAUGCUAAUACCGCAUAAAAACUUUAAACACAAGUUUUAAGUUUGAAAGAUGCAAUUGCAUCACUCAAAGAUGAUCCCGCGUUGUAUUAGCUAGUUGGUGAGGUAAAGGCUCACCAAGGCGAUGAUACAUAGCCGACCUGAGAGGGUGAUCGGCCACAUUGGGACUGAGACACGGCCCAAACUCCUACGGGAGGCAGCAGUAGGGAAUCUUCGGCAAUGGACGAAAGUCUGACCGAGCAACGCCGCGUGAGUGAAGAAGGUUUUCGGAUCGUAAAACUCUGUUGGUAGAGAAGAACGUUGGUGAGAGUGGAAAGCUCAUCAAGUGACGGUAACUACGCAGAAAGGGACGGCUAACUACGUG